AGUGAACGCUGGCGGUAGGCCUAACACAUGCAAGUCGAACGGCAGCACAGUAAGAGCUUGCUCUUACGGGUGGCGAGUGGCGGACGGGUGAGGAAUACAUCGGAAUCUACUUUUUCGUGGGGGAUAACGUAGGGAAACUUACGCUAAUACCGCAUACGACCUACGGGUGAAAGCAGGGGAUCUUCGGACCUUGCGCGAUUGAAUAAGCCGAUGUCGGAUUAGCUAGUUGGCGGGGUAAAGGCCCACCAAGGCGACGAUCCGUAGCUGGUCUGAGAGGAUGAUCAGCCACACUGGAACUGAGACACGGUCCAGACUCCUACGGGAGGCAGCAGUGGGGAAUAUUGGGCAAUGGGCGCAAGCCUGAUCCAGCCAUACCGCGUGGGUGAAGAAGGCCUUCGGGUUGUAAAGCCCUUUUGUUGGGAAAGAAAAGCAGCAGGUUAAUACCCCGCUGUUCUGACGGUACCCGAAGAAUAAGCACCGGCUAACUUCGUG
rnacentral:rRNA from 1 species